CUGGAAUGUUGCUAUGAGGUAUCCAUGCAACCUUCUCUUGUCUGGGCUGAGCAGCCCCACCUUCCUUAGCCUGUCAUAGAGAAGGUCCUUCAGCCCACUUUUCAACUUUGUGGGCCUCCUCUGGACUUGUUCCAACAGUUCCAUGUCCUUCUGAUAGAAGCACCGAAACUGUACACAGUACUCCAGCACUUCAGGAAGCAUAAUGUAAUUUCUGUUGGUUAAUAAAGGAUCUUGAAUGUUUACUGCCACAGGAUGUAUAUAUACAUUUACCCUCUUUCAGUCUGAAUUUAUUUGGUCUUGGAUACAGCAACAGCUGAAGACCAGAUUGGGUGCUAUGUGUCUAAAAUGACUAUUGAAAAUCUGCUUAGCUAAAAACCUGUGAAUACCUUAUGGAGAAGGUGCGGCAAAGCCCAGACAAGACGACUGCAAAACAAACAGUAUCCUUUUGCUUUCUCUGAGAUUGGGGGGAACUAUUCCAACCUUUGAGGUAAGAGAUGUGUAGGAAGCAGCCUGUGUGAAGGAAAUGUAUAGAGGGAGACUCAGGCAGAACCCAACAGUGUUGUGGAAAAAGGCUUCUACAUCACAUUCAUCCCAGAGAGGGAAAAGUCCUCAGCAGGAGCUCCUGGUAAAGACCUCCGUUCACUUUUCCCAAAGUUUGUCUCAAGUAAUUAGGCUUGGAGUGAAAGGUAUUGAUACUGGAGUAGGACUGGCUUACUAGCGCUCAUAAAUUACCCAAACCAUAUAAAAUUUGGUAAUACUGGUGGCCUUGGUCUUAAUUUUCAUCUCUUAUUGUUGAACAUGGUUCUGUCACUGCAGUCUGUGUUUAGUUAUGUGUCAGAUUUCCGUUUACAUGGCAAUGGCUUGAAAAUAUCUCAUUUUUUGUCCACAUCACAUCUAUUUGUUGGAUUCAUAUAAGUGGUAAUGAUAAUAUCCUUGACAAAUUUAUUUUUAUUACAUUAGCUUUGGACAUUAGCAAUUUUCAACACUACUUUGUGAAUUAAAAAAAAAAAAAUAGGUUUAACCAAAUUUAGUUUGUUUACUCAUGAUUCCUCAAACAUUAGUUUACCUUUUAAUCUCAGCCCUGUCUUCAGUCCUUGUUAUGGAGAAAUCCUCUUCAUUCAAGGUCACAAAGUUACUUUUCAAAAUCCCUUGACAUUCUUGUUCCUUUUGUAGUUAUAUUAUGUUAUGGACAAAUUACCAAAUAAUCAAAGACAGACAGUGAAAGUCUCAAAUGAGUGUAAAAUUUUGAAAUUUUAAUUAAUUUUGGUACAUGAGGAAUAAUAUUUUCUUUCCUCACUUUGUCUUUAAAUAUCUGAGUUAUGAAGCAAUAUUCUUUUAAUAUUUGACCUAUAUAUAUGUUUAUACAUUUAAAGAUCUAGGUGUUGCUGUCUCCAAACAUCAAACAUCAAACACUACUUUCUGUAAUGAUAAAAAUACACUAUGUAGGAAUCAAGAAAUAUAAUUUUUAAAAAAUAUGUCAAAGAUUAUCAGGAUAAUAAAGGAUGUAUAAGA